rnacentral:rRNA from 1 species
GAUGAACGCUGGCGGCAUGCUUUACACAUGCAAGUCGAACGGUAACAGGUUAAGCUGACGAGUGGCGAACGGGUGAGUAAUGCAUCGGAACGUGCCCGGUCGUGGGGGAUAACGCAGCGAAAGCUGCGCUAAUACCGCAUACGAUCUGAGGAUGAAAGCGGGGGACCGUAAGGCCUCGCGCGAUCGGAGCGGCCGAUGUCAGAUUAGGUAGUUGGUGGGGUAAAGGCUCACCAAGCCAACGAUCUGUAGCUGGUCUGAGAGGACGACCAGCCACACGGGGACUGAGACACGGCACAGACUCCUACGGGAGGCAGCAGGGGGGAAUUUUGGACAAUGGGCGAAAGCCUGAUUCAGCAAUGCCGCGUGCAGGAAGAAGGCCUUCGGGUUGUAAACUGCUUUUGUACGGAGCGAAAAGGUCUCCUCUAAUACAGGGGGCUCAUGACGGUACCGUAAGAAUAAGCACCGGCUAACUACGUGCCAGCAGCCGCGGUAA